rnacentral:lncRNA from 1 species
AGAUCUCAAGCCCAGUUCAUGGCCUGACCCGUCGUCACCAAGGCCCGGACAUGCUAUCGGCUCCCUGAUCUAUGAGAGAACAGAGGUUUGGGCCAAGGACACUGGGAGUUAUACUUCUGGGCUUCUCAGCUCUCAGGGUCCCAGCGUUUUAAAAUUUCGUUUCAUUUUUUGGUUAGGUUAACAGAAACAAUGGGGUUAUUUCCGGUAGUGGCAACAGCACGAACUAGUUUUCUUGUGGACUAAUGGCCCGAGAGUUCCUGUGAUUUGUGGAUUAUUUCCCUUAGAUGCAAUCGACCAUUUCGUUCCAAUAAGAAUUAAUGCUACCACGGGGCUUACAAAGAACCCCUCAAGUCUUCCAAAUCUGCCCAUGACAUCAACCUCUGCUGCGUAAUCGGACCUGCACCCAACCCAGGUUUUUAGUCACUCAAGCGCGCUGUGCUACAGAACCAGGGAAAAGCACUGAAGCUCUGAACAUAGAGCUUGGCCAUCAGGGCCACACCCCCACACCCACCCGGGUACCAUCCGACCUAGGGACUCUUCCUGCUCCGAAUCUACCUGGCAGGGCCUAGAAGCCACUAUCCAGGUGCCUGCUUUUCAAUGGGGAAUGUUUUUUACCCCGAUCAAAGAAUGACCUCAAAGGUCAUUGUACUGUAGUAGAGAAAUAAUUACAAAAUACAAACACUCCAAAUAAAAUAACAAUCACUCAAGUUUCUUAUUUGUAAGUGAUCAGAGUUAGUGAUCCAGGAUAAUUUGCAGGCAUCAGCUGGCCACAAAUCGUGGACCUCCAUUUUGAAAUGAGCAUGAUUCCAUCAUUAAUUACGAAAAACACCUUUCCACAAAGAUGACAUGUUUUGUUCAGAAACUCUUUUAUGGCCCACGUUGUUACAUUGGAAUUUUAAGGGAAUAAUAAGUUAGGAUUUACCACUGGGUGCUUUGGGAACCAUACCCUUGCCUUGCGCAGGCAGUCUCAUGCGCAAUGCGGCAGACUGUCCAAAGGUUUCAUUUCACAAUGUUCAUGAGGGAAUAGGCAAUAGGAUUUGCGAACUGCAUCCGCAAGUGCCAUUCAAAAUCAGUGGGAGAAAAUAGCUUUUUUUCUUCUGCAAAGGAUUUUCUUUUAUGCAUAUUGUUUCAGUUCAGCAGUUUUGAAGUUGAGGGAAGAAUGUUGCAAUGUAAUAUUUAUUAGCAGGUGGGAAAAAAAACACAACCCAUCAAUACAUUUAGAGAGCAAAAAGAUCUACUCUUUUCCUACUCUGGCAAAUAAGAAACACACGAUGUUUCAACACAGAGAUGUCUUGUAUUUCUCAAAGAUCUAUUGGGUUUUUACCAAGACCUGCACCAUAUAUUCUGAUACCAUUACCUCCCAAAACAUGGAUUCAUUUUGUGAUAUAAAAGAAUCCAAAUUCACCUGACGGAUUAUCAUAUGCGGGAAGAGCCUAUCUUGAGUUGCUUAAAAAUUUCUCUAAGAACUAGAGAAACAUUUAAAAAUAUUUAAAAUUCCAUCUCAUACAACACAAGGCCCAAUAAACCAUCAACCCUAGAAAUUAACCAGCAUCAGUCACUAAAGCCUAGAUUCAAACACCAAGCACAUCCUAGAAACAGAGAAUUCACCCCACCCCCACCCAAGCCCCAACCCUCAAAAAACACCUGUUAGCCUCCCAGGAACCUCUGGCCACGGCCACAGGUAAACCACAAAAACCACAGCUCUAUAUAAAAUGCCUUUAGUGACCCCCAGCAAAGUGGAGAUGUUCAGUAGUAACCCGUCUAUACACUUUCCUAGGGUAGGAUUGAGGGGCUCUCCAUCUAGGCAGUGGGAUCCUGUCUGUGGCUACCCGUAUCUCAGAAUUUUUGAAAUAAUACUGCCCCCUUAGACUUCUGAACCCAGCCGGACUCCACCCCAGGCCCCAGGGGACGCCCUAGGAACGAAGUGAUUGGGGGAAGGGGCUUAGACAGCGACCCCCCACUUCCCCGGGAAAUGUAGGGGAGCAGCCGGACUGAGCUGCCCAAGGGGGUCGGCGCCCCAGGCUUCUUGGUGGCAUGCUGGGGAGCGGGGAGGGGGCGAUUCUUACCCGAAGGCUGCCGAGCUACAGGCGGCGGUCGGUCCGGGCGUCUGCUGUAAUCCACUAGGCGCUCUCCGGAGGUGGCGGCGAUGCGGACCGAGUGAGCGGCGGUGGGGCCAGGCCGGGCGCCGGGCGGGAGCCGAGGCCGCGGCGGACUCCGCAAUCCCGCAGCCGGUGACUGGAGCCCACCUCUGCAGAGACAAAGGAACUGCUCUGGUGAACUCCCCCUGAAAGUAAAUGUCCUUGGCUGGCCUCCAGCAUUCCCCUCAUGGGCAUAGCCAUGCAGCCUUCAGAACCUUCCUGAAAGAGAUGCCCAAGGAUUCAGCAAACACGGGGGAAGCAGAGGACACAAGAAGCUUGGAUGUGAAAUAGCACUUCCUUCUGUGUUACAGAAUAAAACAAUAUUUUAAAUUACACAAGCAGAUGGGGCAAGUUUUUGGGCCCUCAGAAGCCCAGAAGACUUCACACUAGUAUACUGGUAUAUACAUGUGGAAUUGAGCAAAUAACUUGUUUAAUUCCAAAAUUUUCUGAGAAAUAAUCUCAAUAGUCAAUUUGCCUCAUUAUCCUCUCCCCAUCUUACCCAAAUAAAAGCAGAGCUUUAUGACCCUCCCUUUCAACUUGGGGAAUGAGGGCCGCAAAGACACUUUGCACUGAAAAGCAGCCAUAUUUGCAUUUUUCUCCCCUUGUGCAGAGGUAAGCGAUAUAUUGGGCUUUGUGGAACCUCACAAAAUGGCAUCCUUGAACUGACUUCUCUGAAAACCACUGAGACCCACAUUCUCUUUUGUGUGUUUCUGGUCAUUGCAAAUGGAGAGCCUAAAUCACUCAGAAGGCUUGGUUCUUUCAUUCAGUGUUAACAUUGGAGAGAACCAUUUUUCUCUAAACGGUUUACAGACCUCACUAGGCAGACUGGUGCAGUUCAGGGCUGAAAAGUGCUGCCUGGGAUGGCAAAGCAUUCUCUGAAGGUUUAUGCAAAUUUCUGCAGCAAAAAAGUGUUCGCUUGUUGCCUCAAUGCUUGGAUGUUGACACAUUUGAGCCCAUUAGAAGGGCAUCUUGUGCGCAAGUCACUGCCAGUCUGUCUGCAUGAAACACCAUGAUGGGGGGUGGGGAUGUCUAGUCAGUGUAAGAAAGAAGGUGGCGAGUGUGUGUGAUGUGUAAUUCCCCCAGGUCUUUAUUUGAACACAAAUCUAUGCUCUUUCCCAGCUACAAAAGGAAACAUUUACCUACAUGAAUAAUCAACACUCUGGGCGUGUGUGUAAGCUAUGUAUACAUACAAAUUCAUAAUCUAAUAUAUACCAGCUAUUGCAACAGUCUGUCUGUACAUGAGGUAUGAAUUUACCAUGGUUUAGGCGGCCAGUGGGGCCAGAAGUUACACUUUGAGACCAGCACAGAAUGCUGAAGAAAUGACAAUUUUAUCUCCUCUUCCUUCCUUGAUUUCCGUACCCACCCAUACACAGGGCUCCCACCUGACAGUCUUGCCAACAUUAUUUCAGGGUUCUAAAAGUAUCUGGUGAGCAUCCUUGAGCAGGAGACAGCCAGUUUUGCUAAUAUAUAAAGAAGUCCUGAGUCCCUUAAAUCCAGGGCAGCUGGAUUUCAGCCAGCACUGGUCUUUGGAUGGUUUACACUGGAGGCUGUUCCCCAGCCUCUUGGCCCUUGGCAUCCUUACUCUGUACCAGCUGACAGCAGAGUCUUAAGCAGUGCACAGAGCAAAACAUUCUCAAAUCCAGCAUAGGCAUUUGCAGCUGUCUCUUGGAGUGCAAAUGUUUAAGUUCUGGGCCACCUGUGAUUUAAAAUUAUCUUUCCUGGCUCAGGUCAGAGAAUGUCACAGCCAUCACUUCUUCCCAGCAUGGAAAGCCAGGUGGUGCUUUCCUUCUGACCUGGCCAGUGGCAACAUUUCUGUGUCCAUGAAGCCACAGGCAAACAGCCUGAUAAAACCCGAUGAGG